GAUGAACGCUAGCGGGAGGCCUAACACAUGCAAGCCGAGUGGUAUUGUUUCUUCGGAAAUGAGAGAGCGGCGUACGGGUGCGGAACACGUGUGCAACCUGCCUUUAUCUGGGGGAUAGCCUUUCGAAAGGAAGAUUAAUACUCCAUAAUAUAUUGAACGGCAUCGUUUAAUAUUGAAAGCUCCGGCGGAUAGAGAUGGGCACGCGCAAGAUUAGCUAGUUGGUGAGGUAACGGCUCACCAAGGCGAUGAUCUUUAGGGGGCCUGAGAGGGUGACCCCCCACACUGGUACUGAGACACGGACCAGACUCCUACGGGAGGCAGCAGUGAGGAAUAUUGGUCAAUGGGUGCAAGCCUGAACCAGCCAUCCCGCGUGAAGGACGACUGCCCUAUGGGUUGUAAACUUCUUUUGUAUAGGGAUAAACCUACCCUCGUGAGGGUAGCUGAAGGUACUAUACGAAUAAGCACCGGCUAACUCCGUGCCAGCAGCCGCAGUAAAAC
rnacentral:rRNA from 1 species